GUGGUGCUCCCGACAACGGUGGCAACAGCGAUUGCAGGUUCUCCUUUUAACUGCGUAAUUAACACAUUUAAAUUUCAACAUGCAACUUUGUAUCAAUGAACGUCACGUCGGUUAUUUUAUGUAACCUUAUUUCCACCCACGAUAUGACCACAUGUUGAACACGCUGUCCUAUACGCUCCAUACUUGAUUACACGAGUGAGGGUUAGAAACCACUUCUUGAUAUAGAAAAUAAAAAAAUAUCGGAAAUGGGUUAUAAUACAGGGAUGAAGUUAUAUGUAUAGUGUACUUAUAGCUCUGCACACAUACCUCACUAUCACACAUGGGAUACUGAAAAUUUCUCUAGAUUUAGUUUCAGACUGUUCCUAAUAGCGUAUUCAGAUAUCUGAUCGACUUCACGAAAUAUUUUUGUUAACCCUUAACGCAAUAGCUUCGUGGAAGACAAGCUUUUCAUUCAUACUGAUCUUAACUCAUAUGUUAAUCUCUGUGACAAAUCAAUUUCUAUUUUAUAAAAUAAAUGUUCUUUUCCCAUUCAGGCAUAAGCGAUUAUGUUUUACACUGUUGGUGAGAUUGAAUUCCCUAAGUUCAGAUGUGAACCAUCUAGAAUUGGAGAAAUAUUCAAAUUUUUUAACCAACACCGAAGAGUAACUAGAGCCAUAUGUAACUUGUAAAAAAUAU